CGGUAAUACGGGGGGGGCUAGUGUUAUUCGGAAUAACUGGGCGUAAAGCGUACGUAAGCUGCUUUUAAAAUUAAAAGUGAAAGUCUAAAGCUUAACUUUAGAAUGUCUUUUAAAACUUAAAAGCUAGAGUUGAAGAUGGGAUUGUGGAAUUUCUAAUGUAGGGAUUAAAUCCGUAAAUAUUGGAAGGAACACCAAUGGCGAAGGCAACAAUCUGGAUUCAAACUGACGCUGAGGUACGAAAGCAUGGGGAGCAAACAGGAUUAGAGACCCUGGUAGUCCAUGCCGUAAACGAUGAGUGUUAAAUAUUAGAGUAAUUUAUAAUACUUUAGUAUUACAGCUAACGCAUUAAACACUUCGCCUGGGGAGUACGAUCGCAAGGUUAAAACUCAAAGGAAUUGACGGGGGCCUACACAAGCGGUGGAGCAUGUGGUUUAAUUCGAAAUAACGCGCAGAACCUUACCAGUCCUUGAUAUAGUAAAAGCUAAAUUUAGUUAUAUAAAUUUAGUGUUAUUUUUAUUACAGGUGCUGCAUGGCUGUCGUCAGCUCGUGUCGUGAGAUGUUAGGUUAAGUCCUAUAACGAGCGCAACCCUUAUUCUAUGUUGCUAAUUAUAUAUAAUGUAUAAUGCACUCAUAGAAAAUCGCUAACGAUAAGUUGGAGGAAGGAAAGGAUGACGUCAAGUCCUCAUGGCCCUUAUGGGCUGGGCUACACACGUGCUACAAUGGCAAUGACAAAAAGAUGCAAUGGUGCGAGCCGGAGCAAAUCUAUAAACGUUGUCUUAGUUCGGAUUGUUCUCUGCAACUCGAGAACAUGAAGUUGGAAUCGCUAGUAAUCGUAGAUCAGCAUGCUACGGUGAAUAAGUUCU
rnacentral:rRNA from 1 species